GAGUUUGAUCCUGGCUCAGAUUGAACGCUGGCGGCAUGCCUUACACAUGCAAGUCGAACGGUAACAGGUCUUCGGAUGCUGACGAGUGGCGAACGGGUGAGUAAUACAUCGGAACGUGCCCGAUCGUGGGGGGAUAACGAAGCGAAAGCUUUGCUAAUACCGCAUACGAUCUACGGAUGAAAGCAGGGGACCGCAAGGCCUUGCGCGAACGGAGCGGCCGAUGGCAGAUUAGGUAGUUGGUGGGAUAAAAGCUUACCAAGCCGACGAUCUGUAGCUGGUCUGAGAGGACGACCAGCCACACUGGGACUGAGACACGGCCCAGACUCCUACGGGAGGCAGCAGUGGGGAAUUUUGGACAAUGGGCGAAAGCCUGAUCCAGCCAUGCCGCGUGCAGGAUGAAGGCCUCGGUUGUAAC
rnacentral:rRNA from 1 species